AUUUUGGAGUGUAUCAAUACAGUAAGUUGGUGGUGCACCAUCUAUAUAAUUGUAUCCUAUCAACAUAUGUUUAUGCACAUUCUUAUAAAAAAGAACAAAAAGAAACUUUCACUUAAAUAUAGAAAAUGGAGAAGGCAUCAAGAAUCUUGUUCUCUCUUCUUGUUGUGUUCAUUUUGAUAGGUUCACCUUCAUGUAUGGUGAUGGGACAAGGCAAGGCAUGUGAAAGUGUCAAAGAUUGUUAUACUUUAUUUUGCAAACAUGAACAUCUAGUUUGUUUAGAUGGACAUUGUAUAUGCAAUGAAUCACCAAAAAAAAUUGAAUAUGAUCCUUGCAAAAAAGAUGAUGAUUGUAAAGUUUUGUGUGGUCCUGAUUGGCCAGUAGUUAAAUGUAUUAAUGGAGAUUGCUAUUGUGACUUUCAAAAGGUGUAAUAGAAUAUAUUUUUUUCUUAUUAUUAGAGUAAAUUAAAAAUAUGAAACAUACUUCUUAUUAUUAUUAA